GGUGGAAUGGUAGACACGAGGGACUUAAAAUCCCUUGCCCGCAAGGGCGUGUGGGUUCAAGUCCCACC
rnacentral:tRNA from 1 species